rnacentral:rRNA from 1 species
CCUACGGGAGGCAGCAGUGGGGAAUAUUGCACAAUGGGGGAAACCCUGAUGCAGCAACGCCGCGUGAGUGAAGAAGGAUUUCGGUAUGUAAAGCUCUAUCAGCAGGGAAGAAGAAUGACGGUACCUGACUAAGAAGCCCCGGCUAACUACGUGCCAGCAGCCGCGGCAAUACGUAGGGGGCAAGCGUUAGCCGGAAUUACUGGGUGUAAAGGGAGCGUAGGCGGGGGUGGAAGUCUGAAGUGAAAGCCCGUGGCUCAACCGGGGAACUGCAUUGGAAACUGGAUAUCUGGAGUGCGGGAGAGGCAGGUGGAAUUCCUAGUGUAGCGGUGAAAUGCGUAGAUAUUAGGAGGAACACCAGUGGCGAAGGCGGCCUGCUGGACAGAAACUGACGCUGAGGCUCGAAAGCGUGGGGAGCAAACAGGAUUAGAUACCCGGGUAGUC